CGGAAACUCUUUAAAACACGGUUUGUUCCUGAAAAGAUAGCUAUUGAUCCCUUUGGAUAAGCUGACAUGGCAGAGAAAAGGCCAGCUAAGUUGCGAGUGAU